GUGUGUGUGAGACUUAGGAGAAGGAGAGUGUGUUUUCGCGCGCGCGUGUUUGUGAGAAAGACUGAGAGUAUGUGAGACUACAUUAUGUGAGAAAGACUUUGCGAGUGUGUGAGACUAUGUGUGUGAAAGAGAUUGUAUAUAAGAGGCUCUGUGUAUGUGUGUGUGAGACUGUGAGAGAUUGUGUAUGAGAAAAAUUGUAUGUGCAUGAGAGCACUGAGAGCUCACUUGGGUGUGAGAGACUGAUAGGGACUGUGUGAGAGUCUGUGAGAGAUACGGUGUGUGUAAGAGUGCGUUUAAGAGGGAGAGAGAACGGCGUGUGUCGGUGUGUGUGAGGGAGAAGCAAACACACACACAGAAUUCUACAUUCCAUCUGGGCCCCUCUGUGCUUGCCUGGCACUGGCGGUGUGCCCGGGUGUGCUGCUGGCUGCCUGUCCUGAGUAGCUGUCCAUCCUUUGCAAAGGUCACUGAAGAGAUGUAUGGUGAGACAUAUUGUGAAAUGCUUGGAUAUACUACUUCCUUUGGCUGUUUGAGUACUAUACAUCUGACAUACACAAAAAACUAUUAGAGAAGAGAAUUGGCAUGUGUCCACAGUACAAAGAAAUGGACUUUCCCUCACUUCUGUCUUCCAAAUCUCAAGUAUGAUCUCCCACUCCUCUGGAGAAGAAUGAUAAGAGCAGGGAAUUCCCGAUUAGCAACUUUCAAGGAUGAAUCGACCCACUGCAACUGCGUCUUAGCCAUUAACCAAUGACUCAGAGAGUUUAUACCAGUUUAUCCCACCAGCUGGGUGUGAGAGACCCUUCACACUACACUCCUGGCGGGACUGUUAACUUGAGAAGAGGACAGUUAGACAGCGCAAUCAAGGUUUUUUCUCUUUUAGUUGUUCUACUGAGAUUGGGGUAUUUUGCAGUGGGAAAGCAAAAAUGUUGGUGGAUGGCCUGCAUGUAGGUGAGUCUGUGGUAUUGAAGCCAUUAUAUUAUCAUAUUAAUGUUCACUAAGUUGAUUGUGUUUUAUGUUGCAAGUCCCACUGUGUUCAGAUUUUUCUUUGCCUAAAACAAUGCUGCAUAUUUUCUUAGCUAAAUUCCGAAAGAACUAAUAUUGCAUUUUUGGUAUAAUGUUCUACUUCUUUAUUUAUUGGAAGUACCAGCUGUAUUAUUUUUCUUAGAUAGUGCAGCAUAUGAAUAAAAAUAUAUUUUCUUGAUUGAACUUUUCAUUUCAAUGUUUAUUGCAAGCUAUGCUUGACAGGAGUACAACGAGGUUAAAAAUUCUCUACCUUAGGCUGGUACCAUGACCCCAAAUUUCGCACAUUUUUUAUGCUGAAAAAAACAUGGUUUUCCUGGGGAUAGUUUAUAAUACUUGGUGAU